rnacentral:rRNA from 1 species
UGAGGAAUAUUGGGCAAUGCCCGCAAGGGUGACCCAGCAACGCCGCGUGGAGGAUGAAUGUCGUAAGAUUGUAAACUCCUGUUAGAGGGGAAGAAUAGUACCGGUUGGACCGGUAUAUGACUGUACCCUCAGAGAAAGCCCCGGCUAACUACGUGCCAGCAGCCGCGGUAAUACGUAGGGGGCAAGCGUUGUCCGGAUUUACUGGGUGUAAAGGGCGCGCAGGCGGGAUAAAAAGUCAGUGGUGAAAUCCUACAGCUUAACUGUAGAACUGCCUUUGAUACUUUUAUGAUUGAGUUCGGGAGAGAGAGACGGAAUUCCAGUUGUAGUGGUGAAAUACGUAGAUAUCUGGAAGUACACCAGUUGCGAAGGCGGUCUCUUGGUCCGACACUGACGCUGAGGCGCGAAAGCGUGGGGAGCAAACA